UCGACCUGCAGGCGGCCGCGAAUUCACUAGUGAUUCGUAUUACCGCGGCUGCUGGCACAGAGUUAACCGGUGCUUAUUCUGUCGGUAACGUCAAAACAGCAAAGUAUUAAUUUACUGCCCUUCCUCCCAACUUAAAGUGCUUUACAAUCCGAAGACCUUCUUCACACACGCGGCAUGGCUGGAUCAGGCUUUCGCCCAUUGUCCAAUAUUCCCCACUGCUGCCUCCCGUAGGAGUCUGGACCGUGUCUCAGUUCCAGUGUGACUGAUCAUCCUCUCAGACCAGUUACGGAUCGUCGCCUUGGUGAGCCAUUACCCCACCAACUAGCUAAUCCGACCUAGGCUCAUCUGAUAGCGCAAGGCCCGAAGGUCCCCUGCUUUCUCCCGUAGGACGUAUGCGGUAUUAGCGUCCGUUUCCGAACGUUAUCCCCCACUACCAGGCAGAUUCCUAGGCAUUACUCACCCGUCCGCCGCUCUCAAGAGAAGCAAGCUUCUCUCUACCGCUCGACUUGCAUGUGUUAGGCCUGCCCCCAGCGUUCAAUCUGAGCCAUGAUCAAACUCUAAUCGAAUUCCCGCGGCC
rnacentral:rRNA from 1 species